AAAAGUCGUAACAAGGUUUCCGUAGGUGAACCUGCGNAAGGAUCAUUA
rnacentral:rRNA from 1 species